rnacentral:snoRNA from 1 species
AGCAGGAAUUCUAGAGCUUAAGAAUUAAACUGACUAGUGCAAAAGAAUUCCUGGCUCUUUCUCUUGCACAGCUGACUUGCACCAUUCUGCUGUUGCUAUAUAGAGUUCAGGAACAUGA